UACGGGGGGGGCAAGCGUUGUUCGGAAUUACUGGGCGUAAAGGGCUCGUAGGCGGCCAACUAAGUCAGACGUGAAAUCCCUCGGCUUAACCGGGGAACUGCGUCCGAUACUGGUUGGCUUGAAUCCGGGAGAGGGAUGUGGAAUUCCAGGUGUAGCGGUGAAAUGCGUAGAUAUCUGGAGGAACACCGGUGGCGAAGGCGACAUCCUGGACCGGUAUUGACGCUGAGGCGCGAAAGCCAGGGGAGCAAACGUG
rnacentral:rRNA from 1 species